AGCGAACGCUGGCGGCAGGCCUAACACAUGCAAGUCGAACGAAGUCUUCGGACUUAGUGGCGGACGGGUGAGUAACACGUGGGAACGUGCCUUUAGGUUCGGAAUAACUCAGGGAAACUUGUGCUAAUACCGAAUGUGCCCUUCGGGGGAAAGAUUUAUCGCCUUUAGAGCGGCCCGCGUCUGAUUAGCGAGUUGGUGAGGUAAAGGCGCACCAAGGCGACGAUCAGUAGCUGGUCUGAGAGGAUGAUCAGCCACAUUGGGACUGAGACACGGCCCAAACUCCUACGGCGGGCAGCAGUGGGGAAUCUUGCGGAAUGGACGAAAGCCUGACGCAGCCAUGCCGCGUGAAUGAUGAAGAUCUUAUGAUUGUAAAAUUCUUUCACCAGGGACGAUAAUGACGGUACCCGGAGAAGAAGCCCCGGCUAACUUCGUGCCAGCAGCCGCGGUAAAAC
rnacentral:rRNA from 1 species